rnacentral:lncRNA from 1 species
GGCAAAGCGGGAGCCUUCCGCGGCAGAGCUUGGGUGUCCGGGCUCUGAGGCUCCGGUCUGACCUCUCCACGGGGUCGACGGGAAUGUCUCCGGAUGCCAGGAGUUGCAAAGGGCAGACCUAGAUGAGGAAACCCCAGGCAGAGUCCUGGGGAAGCAGCACGGCAUCCGAGCCUCAGGCUUGCCUGGACGGUGUUGGUUGGGGUAAGAUUGGGGAAGAUGCCAGGUGAUAGAAUCCACCCUGCCUCUGACAGCAUCCAAUCUGGAGCAAAGGCUUAUUUCAACCCUCCCCCAAGCUCCCAAUACAAGCCCAAAUUCUGGAACAGGUCCUUUCCAACACCUCCUUCAGAGAAGCUCCCUGGCUCCAGGCAGUGCUUGCUCCCCUCACUGCAGCAGGAAGCCUAACUUGCGAACUGCAGGUGUGCUCCAGGUGGUCACUGGAUGCAAGGCAUUGACAGAUGGAUCCCAUCGAUACCCCCACUGCAAAACCAUAAAUGGUGAGAGAACUUUGGAUGUGGAACGUGGAGGAGGAGGAACACGAAGUGGGGAUCUCCACUUGGGGUGGUCAGCACUGCGGGUGCCCAGCAAAGUCACUGCCUGGUCCACAUCCCGGAGGGGUCUCUGCGCCUCAGUCGGCAUCGCAGCUGAUGGUGAAACUUUUGGUGUGGCAGAAGAGUGUCCACAAACUUCGGAAGAUCGCUGCUCAGAGUGAGGAAUGGAGUUGUGUUUUGAAUAAAAUAUCCACGCAUCCUUUUGUGAGCAAGGAG